rnacentral:rRNA from 1 species
AGGUCCGAACCAGUAUCUGUUGAAAAAGAUUUGGAUGAACUGUGGAUAGGGGUGAAAGGCCAAUCAAACUUGGAGAUAUCUUGUUCUCUUCGAAAUAACUUUAGGGUUAGCCUCGACUUUGAGACUCAUAGGGGUAGAGCACUGGAUUCCCGCGGGGGCCUACCGGCCUACCAACGGAAACCAAACUCCGAAUACUAUGAGUUAAGUCGGGAGAUAGACAGUGGGGGAUAAGCUUCAUUGUCGAAAGGGGAACAGCCCAGAUCGCCGAUUAAGGCCCCUAAUUCUAUGCUAAGUGAGUAAGGAUGUGAAGUUUCAUAGACAGUUGGAAUGUUGGCUUAGAGGCAGCCAUCAUUUAAAGAGUGCGUAAUAGCUCACCAAUCGAGAGACUUUGCGCCGAUAAUGAUCGGGACUAAAGCAUAGAGCCGAAAUCGCGGGUGUGCCACUUUGUGGUACGCGGUAGGAGAGCGUAGUAUGUGCGAUGAAGAUAUACCGUGAGGAGUGUUGGAGCGCAUACUAGUGAGGAUGCAUGGCAUAAGUACACGAUAAAGGGAGUGAGAAUCUCCCUCGCCGAAAACCUAAGGUUUCCAGGGUAAAGCUCGUCUUCCCUGGGUUAGCCGGUCCCUAAGCUGAGGCUGAAAAGCGUAAGCGAUGGAAAGCAGGUUAAAUAUUCCUGCGCCACCUAAAACUAUAACAAUGGGGUGACGGAGUAAGUUAAGCACGCGGGCUAUUGGAUGUCCGUUUUUGUAUGAGGCUGGUCAGUAGGUAAAUCCGCUGACGGAAAGCUAGGUAUGAGACAAGGGGAAUCUUCGGAGGAACCGAUGGUGUAGCGCAAUGCUUCCAAGAAAUAACCUCUAGUUGUUGAUGGUGACCGUACCAAAACCGACACAGGUAGGUGGGAUGAAUAUUCUCAGGCGCGCGAGAGAACUCUCGUUAAGGAACUCGGCAAAUUGUCCUCGUAACUUCGGGAGAAGAGGAGCCCUUGGACGUGAUACCUUCGCGGUUAAGCGUUUGGGGGCCGCAGAGAAUCGGCCCAGGCGACUGUUUAGCAAAAACACAGCACUAUGCAAACUCGUUUAAGAGGAAGUAUAUGGUGUGAUGCCUGCCCAAUGCCAAAAGGUCAAUAGGAGAUGUCAGUCCUUCGGGACGAAGCAUUGAAUUUAAGCCCUGGUGAAUGGCGGCCGUAACGAUAACGGUCCUAAGGUAGCGAAAUUCCUUGUCGGGUAAGUUCCGACCUGCACGAAUGGCGUAACGAUCUGGGCACUGUCUCAACGAGAGACUCGGUGAAAUUGUAGUAGCGGUGAAGAUGCCGUUUACCCGCAGCUAGACGGAAAGACCCCGUGAACCUUUACUGUACUCUGAUAUUGGCUUUUGACUUGUCAUGUGUAGGAUAACCGGGAGACGGUGAAGGAGGCUCGUUAGGGCUUCUGGAGUCAUCCUUGAAAUACCGGUCUUGACAUGUCGGAAAUCUAACGUUGCCCCAUGAAUCUGGGGGACGAACAUUGUCAGACGGGCAGUUUGACUGGGGCGGUUUCCUCCCAAAAAGUAACGGAGGAGUCCAAAGCUUGUCUCAUCGUGGUUGGCAAUCACGAGUAGAGCGCAAAAGUAUAAGACAAGUUGACUGCGAGACCAGCGAGUCGAGCAGGUACGAAAGUAGGGUUUAGUGAUCCGGCGGUGGAAAGUGGAAUCGCCGUCGCUUAACGGAUAAAAGGUACUCCGGGGAUAACAGGCUUAUCGCCACCAAGAGUUCAUAUCGACGUGGCGGUUUGGCACCUCGAUGUCGGCUCAUCGCAUCCUGGGGCUGAAGAAGGUCCCAAGGGUUUGGCUGUUCGCCAAUUAAAGCGGUACGCGAGCUGGGUUCAAAACGUCGUGAGACAGUUUGGUCCCUAUCUGCUGUGGGCGUAGGAUACUUGAGAAGAGCUGCUUCUAGUACGAGAGGACCGAAGUGGACGGACCAAUGGUGUUCCGGUUGUCCUGCCAAGGGCAUCGCCGGGUAGCUAAGUUCGGAAAGGAUAAGCGUUGAAAGCAUCUAAACGCCAAGCCCCCUUCAAGAUAAAGUAUCCCUAUGAGAUGACCUGAAGACGACAGGGUUGA